rnacentral:rRNA from 1 species
GGGGAAUUUUGGACAAUGGGCGAAAGCCUGAUCCAGCAAUGCCGCGUGUGUGAAGAAGGCCUUCGGGUUGUAAAGCACUUUUGUCCGGAAAGAAAUCCUCUGGGUUAAUACCUCGGGGGAUGACGGUACCGGAAGAAUAAGCACCGGCUAACUACGUGCCAGCAGCCGCGGUAAUACGUAGGGUGCAAGCGUUAAUCGGAAUUAUUGGGCGUAAAGCGUGCGCAGGCGGUUUUGUAAGACGGAUGUGAAAUCCCCGGGCUUAACCUGGGAACUGCAUUCGUGACUGAAAGGCUAGAGUAUGGCAGAGGGGGGUAGAAUUCCACGUGUAGCAGUGAAAUGCGUAGAGAUGUGGAGGAAUACCGAUGGCGAAGGCAGCCCCCUGGGCCAAUACUGACGCUCAUGCACGAAAGCGUGGGGAGCAAA